CGUUCACGGGGGGGAGCUAAAAUGCGAGUCGAGCGCUUUCAGCUAUGGUGAAGGCGCGGCGAACGGCUCAGUAACACGUGGCUAACCUACCCUUUGGACGGGGACAACCCCGGGAAACUGGGGCUAAUCCCCGAUAGGUGAGGAGGCCUGGAAUGGUUUCUCAUCUAAAGGGCGUUUAGACCAUGCUUCUAGGCGUCGCCAAAGGAUGGGGCCGCGGCCGAUCAGGUUGUUGGUGAGGUAACGGCUUACCAAGCCUAUAACCGGUACGGGCCGUGAGAGCGGGAGCCCGGAGAUGGGCACUGAGACAAGGGCCCAGGCCCUACGGGGCGCAGCAGUUACGAAAACUCCACAAUGCGCGAAAGCGUGACGGGGCUACCCCGAGUGCCGUCCGCUGAGGACGGCUUUUCCACGGUGUAAGGAGCCGUGGGAAUAAGGAGAGGGCAAGCCUGGUGUCAGCCGCCGCGGUAAAACCAGCUCUCCGAGUGGUGGGGAUGUUUAUUGGGCUUAAAGCGUUCGUAGCCGGCUCAGCAAGUCUUCCGUUAAAUCCAGCGAUCUAAUCGUUGGACUGCGGAAGAUACUGUUGGGCUAGGGGACGGGAGAAGCCGACGGUAUUCUCGGGGUAGGGGCGAAAUCCUAUAAUCCCGGGAGGACCACCAGUGGCGAAGGCGGUCGGCUAGAACGCGCCCGACGGUGAGGGACGAAAGCUGGGGGAGCGAACCGGAUUAGAUACCCGGGUAGUCCCAGCUGUAAACGAUGCGGGCUAGGUGUUGGGGUGGCUACGAGCCACUUCAGUGCCGCAGGGAAGCCAUUAAGCCCGCCGCCUGGGGAGUACGGCCGCAAGGCUGAAACUUAAAGGAAUUGGCGGGGGAGCACCACAAGGCGUGAAGCUUGCGGUUCAAUUGGAGUCAACGCCGGG
rnacentral:rRNA from 1 species